GACGAACGCUGGCGGCGUGCUUAACACAUGCAAGUCGAACGGAACACCCUUGACAGAGGUUUCGGCCAAUGAAGAGGAAUGUUUAGUGGCGGACUGGUGAGUAACGCGUGAGGAACCUGCCUUUCAGAGGGGGACAACAGUUGGAAACGACUGCUAAUACCGCAUGAAGCAGCGAGGGGACAUCCCCUUGCUGUCAAAGAUUUAUCGCUGAAAGAUGGCCUCGCGUCUGAUUAGCUAGUUGGUGGGGUAACGGCCCACCAAGGCGACGAUCAGUAGCCGGACUGAGAGGUUGACCGGCCACAUUGGGACUGAGAUACGGCCCAGACUCCUACGGGAGGCAGCAGUGGGGAAUAUUGGGCAAUGGACGCAAGUCUGACCCAGCAACGCCGCGUGAAGGAAGAAGGCUUUCGGGUUGUAAACUUCUUUUAACAGGGAAGAGAAGAAGACGGUACCUGUUGAAUAAGCCACGGCUAACUACGUGCCAGCAGCCGCGGUAAUACGUAGGUGGCAAGCGUUGUCCGGAUUUACUGGGUGUAAAGGGCGUGUAGCCGGGAAGGCAAGUCAGAUGUGAAAUCUGGAGGCUCAACCUCCAAACUGCAUUUGAAACUGCCUUUCUUGAGUAUCGGAGAGGUAAUCGGAAUUCCUUGUGUAGCGGUGAAAUGCGUAGAUAUAAGGAAGAACACCAGUGGCGAAGGCGGAUUACUGGACGACAACUGACGGUGAGGCGCGAAAGCGUGGGGAGCAGACAGGAUUAGAUACCCUGGUAGUCCACGCUGUAAACGAUCAAUACUAGGUGUGCGGGGACUGACCCCCUGCGUGCCGCAGUUAACACAAUAAGUAUUGCACCUGGGGAGUACGAUCGCAAGGUUGAAACUCAAAGNAAUUGACGGGGGCCCGCACAAGCGGUGGNNUAUGUGGNUUAAUUCGAAGCAACGCNA
rnacentral:rRNA from 1 species